CCUACGGGAUGCAGCAGUGGGGAAUAUUGCACAAUGGGGGAAACCCUGAUGCAGCGACGCCGCGUGAGUGAAGAAGUAAUUCGUUAUGUAAAGCUCUAUCAGCAGGGAAGAAAAUGACGGUACCUGAGUAAGAAGCCCCGGCUAACUACGGGCCAGCAGCCGCGGUAAUACGAAGGGGGCAAGCGUUAUCCGGAUUUACUGGGUGGAAAGGGAGCGUAGACGGCAGUGCAAGUCUGGAGUGAAAGGCGGGGGCUCAACCCCCGGACUGCUCUGGAAACUGUACGGCUGGAGUGCAGGAGAGGUAAGUGGAAUUCCUAGUGUAGCGGUGAAAUGCGUAGAUAUUAGGAGGAACACCAGUGGCGAAGGCGGCUUACUGGACUGUAACUGACGUUGAGGCUCGAAAGCGUGGGGAGCAAACAGGAUUAGAUACCCUUGUAGUC
rnacentral:rRNA from 1 species